GACAGAGGUGCCGAGCGUUAGGCGGAAUCACUGGGCUUAAAGCGUGUGUAGGCGGAUCGUUAAGUGCCUUGUGAAAUCCCACGGCUCAACCGUGGAACUGCUGGGCAUACUGCCGAUCUUGAGCCACUUAGGGGCAACCGGAACAAACGGUGGAGCGGUGAAAUGCGUUGAGAUCGUGAGGAACGCCCGCGGCGAAAGCGCGUCCCUGGACCCCGCCUGACGCUGAGACGCGAAAGCCAGGGGA
rnacentral:rRNA from 1 species